UACGGGGGGGGUAAGCGUUGUUCGGAAUUACUGGGCGUAAAGGGCGCGUAGGCGGCCUGCUAAGUCGAACGUGAAAUCCCCGAGCUCAACUCGGGAACUGCGUCCGAUACUGGUUGGCUUGAAUCCGGGAGAGGGAUGCGGAAUUCCAGGUGUAGCGGUGAAAUGCGUAGAUAUCAGGAGGAACACCGGUGGCGAAGGCGGCUACCUGGACAGAAACUGACGCUGAGGCGCGAAAGCUAGGGGAGCAAACAGG
rnacentral:rRNA from 1 species